AGAGUUGAUUAUGGCUCAGGAUGAACGCUAGCUACAGGCUUAACACAUGCAAGUCGAGGGCAGCGAGAAGAAGCUUGCUUCUUGUCGGCGACCGGCGCACGGGUGAGUAACGCGUAUCCAACCUUCCCUAUAGUAGAGAAUAGCCCGGCGAAAGUCGGGAUUUAAAUGCUCUAUGUUGUAUUUUUGCGGACAUCUAACGAAUACCAAAGGUUUUACCGCUAUAGGAUGGGGAUGCGUCUGAUUAGGUUGUUGGCGGGGUAACGGCCCACCAAGCCGUCGAUCAGUAGGGGUUCUGAGAGGAAGGUCCCCCACAUUGGAACUGAGACACGGUCCAAACUCCUACGGGAGGCAGCAGUGAGGAAUAUUGGUCAAUGGACGGAAGUCUGAACCAGCCAAGUUAAGCGUGCAGGAUGACGGCCCUAUGGGUUGUAAACUGCUUUUAUACAGGGAUAAAGUCGGGGACGUGUUCCCGUUUGUAGGUACUGUAUGAAUAAGGACCGGCUAAUUCCGUGCCAGCCGCAGC
rnacentral:rRNA from 1 species